rnacentral:rRNA from 1 species
UUGAACGCUGGCGGCAGGCCUAACACAUGCAAGUCGAGCGGAUGAAGGGAGCUUGCUCCUGGAUUCAGCGGCGGACGGGUGAGUAAUGCCUAGGAAUCUGCCUGGUAGUGGGGGAUAACGUCCGGAAACGGGCGCUAAUACCGCAUACGUCCUGAGGGAGAAAGUGGGGGAUCUUCGGACCUCACGCUAUCAGAUGAGCCUAGGUCGGAUUAGCUAGUUGGUGGGGUAAAGGCCUACCAAGGCGACGAUCCGUAACUGGUCUGAGAGGAUGAUCAGUCACACUGGAACUGAGACACGGUCCAGACUCCUACGGGAGGCAGCAGUGGGGAAUAUUGGACAAUGGGCGAAAGCCUGAUCCAGCCAUGCCGCGUGUGUGAAGAAGGUCUUCGGAUUGUAAAGCACUUUAAGUUGGGAGGAAGGGCAGUAAGUUAAUACCUUGCUGUUUUGACGUUACCAACAGGAUAAGCACCGGCUAACUUCGUG